rnacentral:sRNA from 1 species
GCCAGGCACAGUGGUGUGCACUUGUAAUCCCAGCAACUUGGGAGGCUAAGGCAGGAGGAUCACAAGUUUGAGGUCAGCCCCAGCAACUUAGUGAGGCCCUAAGCAACUUAGUGAGAACUUGUCUUAA